AUGGAUCACGCCAUGGCAAAGUUGGCCAUGGUAGCGCGCUGGCAAGGUGACGCCGCGAGGUCAUCUUGACGAGUGUUAUCUUUCCAACCAAAGCCCUCCAGCUCAGAUCAGUAUUUACAGGACACCAUGGGGCAUCUGCUGGUCUGCCUAAAAAAAGAAAAGGAGAGAAUGGCAGCAUUUCAAGUGUUGGGGUUGCUGGUGUUUGCUGUUAGGGGCGAAAUUCAAACCUCCCUUUGCAAGAUCCUGGAGAUCAUCAAAACUGCACUGCCACCUAAAGACUUUGAACACAAGUCACUCAUUGACCCAGUUUGUGCGCCACUGUGCUGACCACUUUCUGAACAGUGAGCACAAGAAGAUCCGCAUAGAGGCAGCGUGGACCUGCUCACAUCUGCUCACCCCUCUAUCCACCUGAUCAGUGGCCACGGACACGUGGUCAGUCAAACCGCUGUGCAGGUGGUGGCCUACGUUCUCAGCAAGUUACUGGUGGUUGGCAUCACUGACCCAGGUGAGUGGACUGGAGAUAAGGAAAUGGGUGGAUGAGCUGUUCCCCAUUAUUAUGGACAUGCUGCAGGACUCGUCUUCAUUAGCUAAGAGACAGUACUAGAUCUUUAUCCCUAACAAAGUGAUGUUGAAACACUGCAUCAAUCACCAGCGCUACGAUGUUCUCAUCUGUCGAAUCGUCAAGGGCUAUACUUUGGAAGAAGAGAAAGAGCACCCUCUGACCCUCUGUCGAAUCGGGACCAAUGAAGAAACUCCACGUCAGCACAACUGCUCUUCAGAAGGGCCCACUUCCCUUGAGAGAUGACAAUGGAAUUGU